rnacentral:rRNA from 1 species
GACGAUGAAACACCGGUUCUCGUUUGAUCACCGAAGUUAAGCCACGUCGAGCCUGGUCAGUACCUAGAUGAGUGACCGCUUGGAAAUAUCAGGUGCUGUAUG